rnacentral:rRNA from 1 species
AGAUUGAACGCUGGCGGCAUGCCUUACACAUGCAAGUCGAACGGUAGAGUAGCAAUACUUGAGAGUGGCGAACGGGUGAGUAAUAUAUCGGAACGUGCCCAGUCGUGGGGGAUAACGUAGAGAAAUUUACGCUAAUACCGCAUACGAUCUAAGGAUGAAAGCGGGGGACCGUAAGGCCUCGCGCGAUUGGAGCGGCUGAUAUCAGAUUAGGUUGUUGGUGAGGUAAAAGCUCACCAAGCCGACGAUCUGUAGCUGGUUUGAGAGAACGACCAGCCACACUGGGACUGAGACACGGCCCAGACUCCUACGGGAGGCAGCAGUGGGGAAUUUGGACAAUGGGCGAAAGCCUGAUCCAGCAAUGCCGCGUGCAGGAAGAAGGCCUUCGGGUUGUAAACUGCUUUGUACGGAACGAAACGGUCUGCUUUAAUACUAGUGGCUAAUGACGGUACCGUAAGAAUAAGACACCGGCUAACUACGUGCCAGCAGCCGCGGUAA